GUUAAUGUAGCUUAUUUAAAAGCAAAGCACUGAAAAUGCUUAGAUGGGUAUUCUAUACCCCAUAAACA
rnacentral:tRNA from 1 species